rnacentral:rRNA from 1 species
AUUGAACGCUGGCGGCGUGCUUAACACAUGCAAGUCGUGCGGUAACAGGCGUAGCAAUACGUGCUGACGAGCGGCGAACGGGUGCGUAAUACAUGGGAAUCUGCCUUUUAGUGGGGAAUAACCCGGCGAAAGCCGGGCUAAUGCCGCAUAAGAUCUUCGGAUGAAAGCGGGGGGAUCGUAAGACCUCGCGCUGAUAGAUGAGCCCAUGCCGGAUUAGCAGUUGGUGAGGUAAACGGCUCACCAAGGACGACGAUCCGUAGCUGGUCUGAGAGGACGGCCAGCCACACUGGGACUGAGACACGGCCCAGACUCCUACGGGAGGCAGCAGU